GAUGAAGAACGCAGCGAAAUGCGAUAAGUAAUGUGAAUUGCAGAAUUCAGUGAAUCAUCGAAUCUUUGAACGCACAUUGCGCCCGCUAGUAUUCUGGCGGGCAUGCCUGUUCGAGCGUCAUUUCAACCCUCAGGCCCCCAGUGCCUGGCGUUGGGGAUCGGCGGAGCCCCCCGUGGGCACACGCCGUCCCCCAAAUACAGUGGCGGUCCCGCCGCAGCUUCCAUCGCGUAGUAGCUAACACCUCGCGACUGGAGAGCGGCGCGGCCACGCCGUAAAACACCCAACUCUUCUGAAGUUGACCUCGAAUCAGGUAGGAAUACCCGCUGAACUUAAGCAUAUCAAUAAGCGGAGGA
rnacentral:misc_RNA from 1 species